ensembl:lncRNA
GGCUGAGUGAAUCAUAAACUGGUAUUCUCAUAUCAGCAAGUCUGGGAACCAUUAGUACCAAAUUCACUACCUUACACUACUUCACAAGAGCAUCGGACAGCUCUCUAUUCAAUUCAAAGAAAUUUUGGAGGAAGUGUCGCGUAAACUCCAGAUGGUAACUGAGGUGAAAAAUACAGUAACUGCGUUGACUCUACUAGGGACUUCAAAGCAAGAAGAAAAAUGAAAAGAUGGCAGCAGAGGGACAGUCUGACACAUCAGCAUGUGACAUGGAAGUACAUACGGAGAAAAGACAACAAACAGAAGAGUGUAAGCAUGGUGCGUGCCUGGCACCAUAUCCCUUGCCCUAUGAUUUUGUUGGCAGGCUAACUCCUGCAACUGACAUCAGUGGCAGGUUAGGUAGCUGACAAAAGAAGAGCACUGAAACUUGGCAAUCCACCUCACAAUCUGAUUGACCAACAUCAACCAUCAUUUGACAACUUCACUCUGGGUUGCUUCUUCGCAAUCAUAAUCUUCUGAAAGAGAUACAGAUGAAUCAUUUUUACUGCAUGAUCACCAAAAUUUGCCACAUAUAGUAUGCAACAGGAUGUUUCAUGUACUCAAACUCAUAGUAUUUGGAAAGAAGCUCUAAACUUGAAUAGACAAAUGCAAUCAUGGCGUUCAGCCACACAUAACCAAAACAAGUUAGGAACACGUGGCAAGUGAGAGAUUUCAUCUGGGAGCUGUACUAAACACUGGUUUUUCUGGAUUCUAUUCAUUUUAAAUAAUGAAACUGUCUCAUAGUUUAUUUAGCUAUUUCUGUUAUCCUUGCACAACACGUGUUCGUACUAAUGUUGAGGCAGAUGUACUGCAUUUCAUUUUAAAAACCAGCUAUUUUUUUAAGUGUUGUUUUAACAUGCAUGGCAUAAUCACACACACUAUUCAUUGCCUUGAUGCUUUGCUUCUCAGUAAAGAAAACUGGUUGUCCCAGAUCCUACAGAUUAUCACAUCUGUUUUUAUAGCUCAUAAGGAAUAGUCUUUUAAGGACUUAGAACCCAGAGGAAUCCUGAAAUUUUAGCCUUGCCAAUGUUAUCACUUAGCUUGCUUUCACAAAUGCACUUACUUUCACAAAUGCAACAGAAACAUGGACAAUAGCUCAUAUCUGAAACAUCUAUAACUCUUUGGAAAGAACUAAAUACAGCUAAAAAGAAUGUUUUCUGAUUCAGUCUAUGUAAAACCUAUGAGGAUAUCUAAAGAAGCUAAAGGCUUUUUAUCAGCAAGUUUGAUAUUUUUGAAGUCAAGUUUUUUAUUUACCUCACAUACUUGUGUGAUUCCACCUUGCUGACUGGAGAGUUUAGAUUUUUAUCUGAACUAAUUUGGGAAAAAACUGACAAAGGAAUCUUUAACAACCUCAUAAAGUACUGCUUAUAUGAGGUGAAUACACUUGAAUGAAUAGAGAAUGUCAGCACAGGUGGGGCUUUAGAAACUAUUAAACUUUUACUCCAACGACAUAUAGUAAGCUGCAAAAAUGCAAAUAAUGGCAAAUAAAGGGACAAGAAAUGGAAAUAUUGCAAUUUUCUUAUUCCAAGCAUGUGAAAAGGAAAGAAAAAAAAAAAACAACAAACAUAUUUUAUUUAAAUGUGAUCUAUUAACAGGAUCAUUUAAAUCCUUGAAUUUUCUGACAUUUUGACCCUAAGAGAAGUUCCUUUGGGUAUGGGAUCCAUAAAGCACCAAGCACUCAAACUUCUUAAGAUACGGAGAGCUUCCAGGAAAAACAUGUCUAGCCAAUAAAACAAUCACCAUUCACUGUUUAAUCACCUCAGAGUAUUCUAGAUUCUUGGGAAAUUACUACAGACUUCUCUUCUUUUGGAAUAUAUAUUCAUGCUGCUACAGUAAUGUAGUGUCAAAUGUUGUGUUGAAUAAAAGGUCUUGAAACAGGUACAGACUGAUGAAGAAAAAAAAAAAAAAGGAAGCUUAGACAUAUUUGUUUAAACCAGGUCCAAGUUCUAUUCUGAAGUUACAUGAACAUGAUACUUUUAGACAGUGGCAAUUAUUUCCUCAAGAGUAUUCUAGCACUGAACAUGUGACAAUGAUUUAAAAUAUAAUUUUAUACAAUGCUGUGUUGUAAUUAUGGAUUGAUCUUUAUUUACAGGUCAACUUAGUGUUUGUUUUUCUUUGCCUAUCUCUUCUCAUAAUUGCCAGUAAUGCUAAAGGUUUGGCAUCCUUGUGCUAUAACUAUUUAUAGGGCUAGUCUGAAAAUGUAAGCAUAUGAGGAAGCUGUUUCCUGAAUCUGCCAAUACUAAUGACUCACCAUUCUUUACUUUUUUUUGGAGUAUUUUCUUUUUAAUUAAAUGUGAAAAUAUCUUAUCAAGGCAUUCUAUCUUGCUCACAAAUAUUCUUCAAAAAACCAUGCUAAUGGUUUAAUUGUAGUUCUGCUUCAUAGUCAUCCUAGAUGGUGAGGCAUUAAGUACCUUAAAUUGUACCCAUAUAUGUCUUAAAUAUAUUAAAUGCAAGAUAUACAAAAUAGAAAGAAUAUUUAUUUCCUGAGCUGUGAAAUAAUAAG